UACGGAGGGGGCUAGCGUUGUUCGGAAUUACUGGGCGUAAAGCGCACGUAGGCGGACUGUUAAGUCGGGGGUGAAAUCCUGGGGCUCAACCUGAGAAUUGCCUCCGAUACUGGCAGUCUCGAGUGCGGGAGAGGUGAGUGGAAUUCCCAGUGUAGAGGUGAAAUUCGUAGAUAUUGGGAAGAACACCAGUGGCGAAGGCGGCUCACUGGCCCGUAACUGACGCUGAGGUGCGAAAGCGUGGGGAGCAAACAGG
rnacentral:rRNA from 1 species